rnacentral:rRNA from 1 species
AUGAACGCUGGCGGCGUGCCUAAUACUUGCAAGUCGAGCGAACAGACGAGGAGCUUGCUCCUCUGACGUUAGCGGCGGACGGGUGAGUAACACGUGGAUAACCUACCUAUAAGACUGGGAUAACUUCGGGAAACCGGAGCUAAUACCGGAUAAUAUAUUGAACCGCAUGGUUCAAUAGUGAAAGACGGUUUUGCUGUCACUUAUAGAUGGAUCCGCGCCGCAUUAGCUAGUUGGUAAGGUAACGGCUUACCAAGGCGACGAUGCGUAGCCGACCUGAGAGGGUGAUCGGCCACACUGGAACUGAGACACGGUCCAGACUCCUACGGGAGGCAGCAGUAGGGAAUCUUCCGCAAAGGGCGAAAGCCUGACGGAGCAACGCCGCGUGAGUGAUGAAGGUCUUCGGAUCGUAAAACUCUGUUAUUAGGGAAGAACAAAUGUGUAAGUAACUAUGCACGUCUUGACGGUACCUAAUCAGAAAGCCACGGCUAACUACGUG